CCACACCUCAACCCCAAAAAGACAUGUGGCGAGCAUGUUUAUCCAGUUUUAUCCCCCAUCUUCUCACCAAGAGACCUGGCUCUCAUAACCUACUCCUUCAUGCUAACCACCUGAAGGCACCUCUCCUCAUGGUCAGCCAAACAGUCCUGUGAGCCGUGAGGACUGUAACAAGACUUGGUCGCAAUUCUAUGCAACUCUGGUUCGGCCACACCUACUCACAUUCCCC